UGAUUAUCUUUUAAAAAAAAUUGAUAAUUUGGAAGUUUAAAAUGAUGUUAUCUGGGUUAAGAUGCUAGCUUCAUCAGAAGCAGUUUGAGAUUAGAUUUACUAUAGGGAUAAUCUUUAAUUUUAAAGAAAUCUAUUCCUAAGUAAGUUGAAACUCUCGUGAUCUUAACUAUAAAUAAACUUUCAAUUCACAACAACUAACAAAAAAAAAAAAUCACAGAGAAAGCAAUCAACAGAGAAAAUCAGAGGGCAACACAGGGGAGAUAGGAGCAAAUCCCCAUUUUGUUCGGCCGCUCCCAAUUGCCAGUCACCACCAUCAGUCAUCCACUACCUAAACCAGCAACCGAAGACUACCACUACCUUUUCUUGCCCAAAUAGUAACCAUCGAUCCAAAAUCCAACAAAUAAUCAAAACACAAUAACCAGAGUCAAGCAUCAAAAAUAGCCACAGAGAUAGAAUCAACAAUCGACAACAAUCGAAAGACGAAAACAAAAGAUAUUCUUCUAGCAGCGGUUUUCGCUUUGGGAUUCACUUUUAGUUAGGCACCUUUUGGUAUUCUUUCAAACGGCAAAAGAAAGGGGAAGGAUUUGGAGGAGUUUUUCAAUGAUCCGAGUAGCUGGGAUUAGGAAUUCCAAGAAGUGGUAGAAUGGUCUUUGUGUUUAAAUUUGCAAGGUGUUGUGAGAUUCCAAAAAUAAUCAGGGAAGUGACAACUUAUCGGCAAAAAGGACGAGAAAACAGCAAAAACUGAGAGCUGUGUUGCUGAAAUGAGAAGUUGGGCUUUAUCCUUUUGCAAUAAAGAAUAAAGAAAGGGGAAGGAAUGUUCUAGAACUUGAAGAUCUGGUCAAGUCCAAAAAGCUUAUAUUUUGAGUGUAACCUGAGGAGGAUUCAAGAACCCACAAUUUGAAGCCUCGAACUCCAGCCCUACUUUUUAGCUUAGGCUGGCCUGCGUUGGAUUUGAGUUGUAACUGAAAUUUCAGGUUUUCAUCUUUUUUUUUUUUCCUUAUUUAAUUUUCUGGUUCUUUUUUUUUUUUAUCAUUUAUUUACUUUGUUAUACAUUUUAUAAAGCAUUCAUUCUUAAACUAGAAAAAUGUUUAGUUGCUUCACACUUAAAAAACUAAAAUAUG
rnacentral:lncRNA from 1 species